CAGAGAUUUUUAAAACUGAUGUCAUUAUACUGAGAAUAGAAAAUAUCUACCUGAAUGAUUGAAAAUUACAGUGGGAGCAGAAGGUGAAGUGUCAUUUUCUUUGAUUGUGGAUGGAGGGAAUGACAAGGGAGGAACUUCUUGAGAUGACAGCCUGACAGCCUUUAAAUCAAGGAGGAUCUCUUUCCUAGUAAGCAUGAAGAUUAAACAGACUAAUGAAUCAAUGUUUUAGACCAUCCACUCCUGGGAGAACACAUCAGAGUCCCAUCAACAAUGGUCAAGUCGGGGAACAUUCUUUCCUGUCAACUGGCAAGUCUCCUGUUGUAUUGAAAGUCUUGUUCUUCUCUGGGAAAUUACUCUAUUUAAUGGAGACAGAUGUCCCUCCACAUAAUUUUUUUUUUUUUUUGCGGUACGCGGGCCUCUCACUGUUGUGGCCUCUCCCGUUGCGGAGCACAGGCUCCGGACGCGCAGGCUCAGCGGCCAUGGCUCACGGGCCCAGCCGCUCCGCGGCAUGUGGGAUCCUCCCGGACCGGGACACGAACCCGUGUCCCCUGCAUCGGCAGGCGGACUCUCAACCACUGCGCCACCAGGGAAGCCCACUCCACAUAAUUUGAUAGUUCUUCACCAGGAUCCAAGAGAUAAUUUGAAGACCAUCAAGGCCCACAGAAACAAUCCAUCUCCCUCUGAAAAAGAAGGUGUUUCUGCCACCACCAAUAAGGGACACCUUUAGUGUUAUCGAGAGUGGUCACAGAGCACCGAGCUGAUCUCCCUGUGCUAUGUGGCUGCUUCCCACUAGCUAUCCACCUGGAGUCUGUCAUACAGAGUGAAUUUGCCUGCUGUACUUUAUGCCGCUGUGAGUGACAUUGGUUGUUGAGCCCCCUGUCCCGUCGUCCUUCUCGGGCACCAGAAGUGCUGAAUCUGGCGUCUUUCUCCCAUGUGUCACCCAGCUAUAUUAAUAUAUCAAUAACCUGCCCUUCUUGGGUUGCUUUCUCCUCUUCUGCCCUUGAAUCUGUCUCAUCUUUAAAGCCCGAAGCCUGGUUUCCUUACCUCCACUGUGAUUAUUCUUUCUCGGAACUGCACUGUAGAUUGAGCACAGAUGAGGAUUCUGAAACAUAAUACAUUCCGUCGUCAGUUAUCUGCUGCAUCUUAUUGGGUCUGUUGAUUGCCUAGCUGAUGUCAAGCAGGUGAGUUUGAUUGCUUUUCUGUUUGUCCCACUAUACAUAACUCUAUCUUAUGGCAUCAAGAGAUUAAAGUAACAGAGAGACCAGCAUAAAAGGAGCUCAGAGAAGCUGGAUUUGGAAAGCUGGCAGCAGUGGUUUGAACAAGACCCUUAGCAGUGCUCGUGAGAAAGAUAAGACACCUCUAAAGUCUGAUGAAAGACGAUUGCAUUCACCCAGAAUCGUAUGCAGUUAAAAAUAAUUUUCAGUGACCGAAUACCCUUAAAUGCCGGCCAUAUUAAACUGUAGUAAGGACCCCACUGAUGGGAUUAGUCACUCGAUAAUUGGCUAAUUCCUAUUUCAAUGUGUCUGACAGCUCAAUGUGGACAUAUGGAAAACAUUGAGAAUAUACCCAUUUUACAGAAAACAAGACUCAGGGUAAAAGAAGGUGAAAAUGUGUGUCACGUAACGUCCAUGCAGCACAUUUGAGGUCAUGAUGCUCUGGCUCUUCCCACAUUCCCACUCGCAUUUGUGUUUGUUUCUCACACCUCCUCUGGUUGAUGGAAGAAGUCAUACAUUGACCAAAUAUUUUGGCUGGAAAAAGGCCCAUGGAAUCCAAAAGGACCAUCCAGUUGAGAGGUCAACAAAAUAAUCUGUGGCAACCUUCCAAAAUUCCACCACAAGUGUUGGAAUAUUUAAAUUUAUACCACAUAGAGGUACUUUGGAGAACACGAACUCAG